CUAUACAUGACUCUGCGCAUAUCAAUAAGCGGAGGAAAAGAAACUAACAAGGAUUCCCCUAGUAACGGCGAGUGAAGCGGGAAGAGCUCAAAUUUGAAAUCUUCAAGGGUUUCCCUUGACGAAUUGUAGUUUAAAGAAGUGUUUUCUGUUAGAGAGGUGGUAAAAGUUCUUUGGAAUAGGACAUCAUAGAGGGUGAGAAUCCCGUAUUUGUUCACUUUCCUUACUAACGCUUUGUGAUACACUUUCAAAGAGUCGGAUUGUUUGGGAAUGCAGUCCAAAAUGGGUGGUAAAUUUCAUCUAAAGCUAAAUAUUGGCGAGAGACCGAUAGCGAACAAGUACCGUGAGGGAAAGAUGAAAAGGAACUUUGAAAAGAGAGUUAAACAGGUACGUGAAAUUGUCAAAAGGGAAGCGUUUGACACCAGUGUUGUUUUUUCCGAAAAUCAAUUACUGAAUGGUUUGAUUUUUAAGAGUUAUGACCUUCAAAGCUGCUUGCUUCUUUUUCUUUACGUACUUUCGUUAAUGCACUUUUCGGUUAACAAGUCAACAUCAAUUUCUUUUGUUGUAAAAGGGUAUGAGGAAGGUGGCUUUACUUUUCGGAGUAAAGUGUUUUAUAGCCUUUUACCUUCUGCAGUCGGAGAGAUUGAGGUCUGCAGCGUAGAUCCUUCGGGGUUAGAUACAGUUUGUGCUAAGUUAUAGCUUUUGUCAUAGACAACAUGUUGACUAUGAUUAGUCAUGUAGCUUACCUCGCAGUAUAGCUAUUUUACCUACGCUUAGGAUGUUGAUAUGCAUGACUGAUAU
rnacentral:rRNA from 1 species